rnacentral:rRNA from 1 species
UACGAGGACCCCAAGCGUUAUCCGGAGUUACUGGGCGUAAAGCGCGGGUAGUUGGUUUUAUUAGUCUGAUGUUAAAUUCCGAGGCUCAACUUCGGAACCGCAUCGGAAACGGUAAGACUAGAGUGGGUUAGAGGCAAGCGGAACGUGCGGUGUAGGGGUGAAAUCCAUUGAUAUUGCACGGAACACCAAAAGCGAAGGCAGCUUGCUGGAGCUCUACUGACAAUCAGCCGCGAAAGUGUGGGGAUAAAAAAGG